rnacentral:rRNA from 1 species
AACGAACGCUGGCGGCAUGCCUAACACAUGCAAGUCGAACGAGAUCUUCAGGUCUAGUGGCGCACGGGUGCGUAACGCGUGGGAAUCUGCCCUUUGGUUCGGAAUAACAGUUGGAAACGACUGCUAAUACCGGAUGAUGACGAAAGUCCAAAGAUUUAUCGCCAGAGGAUGAGCCCGCGUAGGAUUAGCUAGUUGGUGUGGUAAAGGCGCACCAAGGCGACGAUCCUUAGCUGGUCUGAGAGGAUGAUCAGCCACACUGGGACUGAGACACGGCCCAGACUCCUACGGGAGGCAGCAGUGGGGAAUAUUGGACAAUGGGCGAAAGCCUGAUCCAGCAAUGCCGCGUGAGUGAUGAAGGCCCUAGGGUUGUAAAGCUCUUUCACCCGGGAUGAUAAUGACAGUACCGGGAGAAUAAGCUCCGGCUAACUCCGUGCCAGCCGCCGCAGUAA